rnacentral:rRNA from 1 species
UACGUAGGGGGGCAAGCGUUGUCCGGAUUUAUUGGGCGUAAAGAGCGUGUAGGCGGCUAGGUAGGUCCGUUGUGAAAAACUCGAGGCUCAACCUCGAGACGUCGAUGGAAACCAUCUAGCUAGAGUCCGGAAGAGGAGAGUGGAAUUCCUGGUGUAGCGGUGAAAUGCGCAGAUAUCAGGAAGAACACCCGUGGCGAAGGCGGCUCUCUGGUACGUGACUGACGCUGAGACGCGAAAGCGUGGGGAGCGAACAGG